rnacentral:rRNA from 1 species
GACGAACGCUGGCGGCGUGCUUAACACAUGCAAGUCGAACGGACAGGCCCUGCUUUUGCUGGGUGCUCGAGUGGCGAACGGGUGAGUAACACGUGUGUAACCUGCCCUUGACUUUCGGAUAACUUUAGGAAACUGGGGCUAAUACCCGAUAUGAGCUCUUGCUGCAUGGUGGGGGUUGGUAAGUUUCGGCGGUUGGGGCUAGUCUGGCGGCUUAUCCGCUUGUUUGUGGGGUAGUGGCUUACCAAGGCUUUGACGGGUAGCCGGCCUGGGAGGGUUGCCAGCCACAAUGGGACUGAGAGACGGCGCAGAAGCCUACGGGAGGCAGCAGUGGGGAAUAUUGCACAGUGGGCGGAAGCCUGAGGCAGCAACGCCGCGUGCGGAAUGACGGCUUUCGGGUUGUGAACCGCCGUCGCCUGAGACGAAGCGUGAGUGACGGUAAUGGGUAAAAAAGCACCGGCUAACUACGUG